rnacentral:tRNA from 1 species
GGGUCGUUAGCUCAUCGGGUAGAGCAUCGGCCUUUUAAGCCGAGUGUGGCUGGUUCGAGACCAGCACGACCCA